rnacentral:rRNA from 1 species
CCUACGGGAGGCAGCAGUGAGGAAUAUUGGUCAAUGGACGAGAGUCUGAACCAGCCAAGUAGCGUGAAGGAUGACUGCCCUAUGGGUUGUAAACCUCUUUUAUAUGGGAAUAAAACGUUCCACGCGUGGGCUUUUGUAUGUACCAUAUGAAUAAGGAUCGGCUAACUCCGUGCCAGCAGCCGCGGUAAUACGGAGGAUCCGAGCGUUAUCCGGAUUUAUUGGGUUUAAAGGGUGCGUAGGGGGUUUGUUAAGUCAGUUGUGAAAGUUUGCGGCUCAACCGUAAAAUUGCAGUUGAAACUGGAAGACUUGAGUUGGUGUGAGGUAGGCGGAAUGCGUGGUGUAGCGGUGAAAUGCAUAGAUAUCGCGCAGAACUCCGAUUGCGAAGGCAGCUUACUGAGCCAUAACUGACGCUGAGGCACGAAAGCGUGGGGAUCAAACAGGAUUAGAUACCCCAGUAGUC